GCGAGAGUGGCGGAAUUGGUAGACGCGCUGGGUUCAGGGUCCAGUGGCCGUUUGGCUGUGGGGGUUCGACUCCCCCCUCUCGCACCA
rnacentral:tRNA from 1 species